UACGGGGGGGGCAAGCGUUGUUCGGAAUUACUGGGCGUAAAGGGCGCGUAGGCGGCCUGCUAAGUCACACGUGAAAUCCCUCGGCUCAACCGGGGAACUGCGUGUGAUACUGGCGGGCUUGAAUUCGGGAGAGGGAUGUGGAAUUCCAGGUGUAGCGGUGAAAUGCGUAGAUAUCUGGAGGAACAUCGGUGGCGAAGGCGACAUCCUGGACCGGUAUUGACGCUGAGGCGCGAAAGCCAGGGGAGCAAACGGG
rnacentral:rRNA from 1 species